GUGGUGUUAGCUUAAUGGUAUAGCAGAGGAUUUAAUUCUUUGGUUGCAGGUUCAAAUCCUGCACAGCCCGCCA
rnacentral:tRNA from 1 species